GGUUUCUUGGCGCAGUUGGUUAGCGCGUCUCCUUAACAAUUCUGGUCUCUUUGUUCAGAUCGUUAGGGCUUACGGAGGAGGUCGCCGGUUCGAACCCGGCAGAAAUCA
rnacentral:tRNA from 1 species